rnacentral:rRNA from 1 species
AUUGAACGCUGGCGGCAGGCCUAACACAUGCAAGUCGAGCGGGGUUUUCGGACCUAGCGGCGGACGGGUGAGUAAUGCGUAGGAAGCUACCCGAUAGAGGGGGAUACCAGUUGGAAACGACUGUUAAUACCGCAUAAUGUCUACGGACCAAAGUGUGGGACCUUCGGGCCACAUGCUAUCGGAUGCGCCUACGUGGGAUUAGCUAGUUGGUGAGGUAAUGGCUCACCAAGGCGACGAUCUCUAGCUGGUUUGAGAGGAUGAUCAGCCACACUGGAACUGAGACACGGUCCAGACUCCUACGGGAGGCAGCAGUGGGGAAUAUUAGGGACAAAUGGGCGCAAGCCUGAUCCAGCCAUGCGCGUGUGUGAAGAAGGCCUCGGUUGG